rnacentral:misc_RNA from 1 species
UCCGGGUUGGACCCGGCGGUCCCGCCAGACAUGGUAACUGGCAGCGAGGGUUGCGCUCGUUGCGGGACUUAACCCAACACCUCACGGCACGAGCUGACGACAGCCGUGCAGCACCUGCGCACGCUCCCUCGCGGGUCCCUCGGCUUUCGCCUCGGUACCACGUGCACGUCAAGCCCGGGUAAGGUUCUUCGCGUUGCAUCGAAUUAAACCACACGCUCCGCUGCUUGUGCGGGCCCCCGUCAAUUCCUUUGAGUUUUAGCCUUGCGGCCGUAGUCCCCAGGCGGGGCACUCACUGCGUUAGCGGCGGCACCGGGGGGGUCGAUACCCCCGACACCUCGUGCCCAUCGUUUACGGCGUGGACUAC